CUCCCCCUUUCCAUUCAAUCCACAACCCUCAUCUCAUGUUGUGGGCGAAAGAUUACCUAGGUGCCAAGUGCAUAGAAGAAAACGCUGACGUAUGCUGCCUUCUCUCUCUACUUCGGCUACCUAAAAGGGAAGGGCCCCCUGUCCUGUGAUCACGUGACUUGCUGCACCUUGUCAAUCACUUAGAAGAUUCACCCUCCUUACCCUGCCCCCUUGUCUUGUAUGCAAUAAAUAUCAGCGCAACCAGUGGUUCAGGGCCACUACCGGUCUCCGCGUCUUGGUAGUCAUCCCCCAGGCCCAGCUGCUUUCUCU
rnacentral:lncRNA from 10 species